rnacentral:snRNA from 1 species
UUGACUCCAAAAAAAUUCU